rnacentral:rRNA from 1 species
GACGAACGCUGGCGGCGUGCUUAACACAUGCAAGUCGAACGAAGUGGCGAACGGGUGAGUAACGCGUAAUCAACUUGCUCUUCAGAGGGGGAUAAAAGUUGGAAACGACUGCUAUUACCGCAUACUGAAGGGGGGGUUGGUGUCGGAUUAGCUAGUUGGGGGGGUAACGGCCCACCAAGGCGAUGAUCAGUAGCCGGGCGGAAGAGGUUGACGGCCCAAAUGGGACUGGCGCACGGCCCAGACUCCUACGGGAAGCAGCAAUGGGGAAUCUUCCGCAAUUGACGAAAGUCUGACGGAGCAACGCCGCGGGAGAGAUGACGGCCUUCGGGUUGGAAAGCUCUGUUAAGCGGGACGCGGUACCGGAAUAGAAAGCCACGGCUAACUACGUGCCAGCAGCCGCGGUAAUUC